rnacentral:rRNA from 1 species
GGGCCCGCACAAGCGGUGGAGCAUGUGGUUUAAUUCGAUGAUACGCGAGGAACCUUACCAGGGCUUAAAUGUAGUGGGACAGGUCUAGAAAUAGACCCUUCUUCGGACUCAUUACAAGGUGCUGCAUGGUUGUCGUCAGCUCGUGCCGUGAGGUGUCAGGUUAAGUCCUAUAACGAGCGCAACCCCUAUCGUUAGUUGCCAGCGGGUCAUGCCGGGAACUCUAGCGAAACUGCCGGUGCAAACCGAGAGGAAGGUGGGGAUGACGUCAAAUCAUCACGGCCCUUACGUCCUGGGCUACACACGUGCUACAAUGGCCGGUACAGAGAGCAGCCACUACGCGAGUAGGAGCGAAUCUACAAAGCCGGUCUCAGUUCGGAUCGCAGUCUGCAACUCGACUGCGUGAAGCUGGAAUCGCUAGUAAUCG